rnacentral:rRNA from 1 species
GAUGAACGUGGCGGUGUGCCUAAUACAUGCAAGUCGAACGGAGUUAAUAGCAAUAUUGACUUAGUGGCGAGCGGGUGAGUAACGCGUUGGUGAUCUGCCUCGAAGUGUGGAAUAACGUUCCGAAAGGAACGCUAAUACCGCAUGUGCUCUCGAUUUUUAGAAACUUGAGAGUAAAGGAUUUAUUCGCUUCGAGAGGAGCCUGCGUCCCAUCAGCUGGUUGGUAGGGUAACGGCCUACCAAGGCUAUGACGGGUAGGGGACCUGAGAGGGUGGCCCCCCACAAUGGAACUGAAACACGGUCCAUACACCUACGGGUGGCAGCAGUAGGGAAUAUUAGAAAUGGACGAAAGUCUGAUCUAGCAACACCGCGUGUGCGAAGAAGGCCUUCGGGUCGUAAAGCACUUUUUGGAAGGAAUAGGAAGGAAUGUACUUCCAGAAUAAGUCUCGGCUAACUACGUGCCAGCAGCCGCGGUAACACGUAGGAGGCAAACGUUAUCCGGAUUUACUGGGCGUAAAGCGCGUGUAGGUGGUACUGUAAGUAGGGCGUGAAAGCUCCCGGCUCAACUGGGAGAGGCCGUUCUAAACUGCAGAACUAGAGGAUGGUAGAGGGAGGUGGAAUUCCAGGUGUAGCGGUGGAAUGCGCAGAUAUCUGGAGGAACACCAGUGGCGAAGGCGGCCUCCUGGACCAUUCCUGACACUCAGACGCGAGAGCUAGGGUAGCAAACG